AUGGUCGUUCCCCACCACGACGACCACCCCCCAUGGCGUUGCCGCCGUCCCCAACCGCGACGACCGAAGGCGGAGGCGUCACCUAUGGCGCUGCCACCGUGUGGAUGCCACGAAGGUGUCCGGCGCCGACACAACCCACAUCGGCGAAGCUUGAGGGCGGCGACAGCGGGCGGGGCUCCCAACGGCGCUGAUGAAAGCAUCCACAGCGUUGAAGCUCCCCUCGGCGUGGAGUGGUUCCACAAGUCACGCUGCCCAUGGGCUAGGCGAGGAUGCCCACGACGUUCGGCCCAGCCAACAGGACUCCGUGCGCAACGACGGGCGCACCGGGGACGCCGGCCGCGGAAUGGGCUGUUGCUCCUUCAAAGCUUGAUUCUGCAAUGCUUCAUUCUACCUGAUUUAUCCAAUUUCGUGUGCGAGCUUGUCAUGUCAAGCCAAAAUUUCUGA
rnacentral:rRNA from 1 species